AAUCGGACAUAGUACGAGAAGGUUGUAUGUCUAAAGGGAAACAGCCCCCCAGAACAAGAGUAAUAAGGUUCCUAAAUUAUUAUUAAGUGAAAUAAAGGAUAUAAAUAUAUAAUACAACCAGGAAAUAGGCUUAGAAGCGGUCAUUUUUUAAAGAUCUCGUAAUAGAGCACUGGUUAAUUUAUUCUUUAAUAUAUAGAUACCUAAAAUUUAACGGAUCUAAAUAAUAUACCGAAACCUUGUACAUAUUUAAAUUAAUUUAAAUAUGAGAUAGCGGAACAUUGGAUAAAAUAGUAGAGAUAUAAAUAAAUUAUAUUAUAUUUAAUUAAUCUAAGAAUCCAAGAGAGAAUGCUGACAUGAGUAACGAAAAAGGAUUAUAAAUAAUAUCCUCGCCUUAAGCUUAUGGUAUUUGA
rnacentral:rRNA from 1 species